rnacentral:rRNA from 1 species
AGCGUAGACGGUAAAGCAAGUCUGAAGUGAAAGCCCGGGGCUCAACCCCGGGACUGCUUUGGAAACUGUUUAACUAGAGUGCUGGAGAGGUAAGCGGAAUUCCUAGUGUAGCGGUGAAAUGCGUAGAUAUUAGGAGGAACACCAGUGGCGAAGGCGGCUUACUGGACAGUAACUGACGUUGAGGCUCGAAAGCGUGGGGAGCAAACA